UGGCAGCAGUCACGUACGGCCUUGUAUAUCAAUGCCCACAUUUAGGAUACCCAACUUCUGCCAGCACGUUUCGAAUAAUCACCAGUGAGCAUGCUGCAACCCUGCAAAUAUUCAUUAUCUCUGCUGCCUGGGAAACCUCUUUUCUUAAGAGUGUACAUGCUUCUGUGAUAAAGGAAUCACCUCUCUACCCUCACGAUCCGUUUUAUUCAUAGCCUGUGCAACACUCCACAACCCCACUGAAGUGCCAUCCUGCAUGGAGGAACCCUUUUUAUUGAGAGUGUGGAAUUACAUUAUUCUGCAUUUGGAGGGUUCAGUCCUUGACUCUUCGCCUCCCUCAGGGGAAAACCUGGCGCCUCCUGCCCGGAUCAGACGACUCGGAACUGGACGGAGUGGAAGGGAUGAGAGGGGUGGAGAGGGGGAGGAAGGGAGGAGGAGGUGGGGAGGCAAAGCAGUGGAGAAAAAAAGGGAGGAGAAAACCGCUGAAAUGCAGGCUUUAGACAUGGGAGGAUGGAGGGGUGUCAUGCUGCUGCACUGAGCGAUACAGGCCUCAACAUCUGCAAGAAAUAGGUGUCACAACAAUCAACAUUACUUUUUCCCAGAGUUGCACGACUGCUGCAAGAUGCACCACAGCAAAGGACAUGUUUAAUAUUUGUAUUAUUUAUUUAUAGGUUUAUAGACUACUUCCUGGUUUUUAAUUGAGAUAUAAGCCGAAAAUUCAGGUGUUUUAUUUUUUUAAGACCAAUAAUUCGAUAUGUUCUGUUUCGAUACAUAUGUUUAAUAUUUAAUGACAUUAUAAAAUUGUCUGAAAUGUUAAUAGUUGGUUUAGUCUGAAGGCAAAGCAUUUACUUAGCAUAUUAUAAUAUUUAUAUUUACGUUUUUGGUACCCUUUUCUCACGUAGAAAACCUAUUACGCUCACAAUGCAUCAUUCAUUGUGUGCAAAAACACACGAUAGCCUACAUGAAGUAAAUCCAAAUAUACAAAUAAAUAUUGUGACAAACUAUAGCAAAUCUCUGCAGGACAGAACAAAAAGCAAAGUGUCUGCACACUCCUGUGAUUCUGCUCCUCUCACUGGUCUCUGAGCCUGCUCUACACAUGCGUCGUAUGUAAGUGUAAUUGGCCGUAUCAUUGGCUUUUGUCUUGUUUACAAAGCGGGCAACAGGAGCGGUAAUUUAAUUUCCUCUGCCGCAUUGAAGAGCCACCAGCCGCCUGUCAUGCAGGCCGGGAUCAGGCUGCACAGCCCCGGGCAGCGAGCAGAGAGACCCGGGGCGAGAGGAGGAGGCGGAGGCGGAGGGGAGGGUGACAUCUGCGUGCUAACAAAAGUGUGUAUGAAUGAUAUCAUGGGAUGUAAUGCAGGGUAAGCCCUGUCUCUAUGGCUCAGCUGAAAUCUAUAAUUCAAUAGUAUUUAGUAAUAAUCAUUGGCUUAUUUUAGUUUAUUGCAUUCUUAAUUAAAGUACUAUCUGUUUAUUAAUGUUUCCUUUGGUUCAUAUUUGACCAUUUUUGGCUUUCUGUUUUAUUUGUUUACAUUUCUUUUAAUUCUGACACAUUUUCUAUUUUUUUACCCAUAUUUUUGUCUAAAUGUUCCUAUCUUU